CCGGUCUCUGUCUCGUCCUUUCUCACCUUCCCUUCGCUUCUCUCACCUCCUCUCUCCUUCCCUUUUCAAUUCCCUCUCUCUGGUCCUACUUAUCUUUUCUCUACCAACACAACAAUCAUUCUUACCCCCGCCUCUUUUCCUUCUUCUCGUAUCUUUUCUCUUCCCUUUCCCUAUCUCUCCUCCUUUUCCCUCUACCUCUCCCUCCUUCCUCCUUUUCUUAAAAUGUAUUUUACGUGUUAUACGUAAAUUUGACAGAGCUGUCAAAUACUUAAUAGUCUAAGACUAAUUAAUUAGUUUUUAAAACUAGAAGGAUUAUUUGAUUCGUUUUGAAAACUACAGUGACUAAUUUAUAAUUAACUCGCCAAAAGCCUAUGCACAUACACAGAAAAGGCUUAUCUGCCUCUUAAACCUCAAUUCUAAAACCCUUUUCACCCUGCUGUCUCUCUGCAAUCUAAUAGAUUAAACAAACGAUACUAUACCUGCUGUUUCAGACACCCUGAAGCUGCUUAUGUUCCUCAGUAAAGCCUGUUUUGUGUCUCUAUACUGCGGAUUCCUCUUCGCAAACUUGCCCGGUCAGUCACUGCUCAUUUCCACACACAUAUAUGUUAAGUUUUCUUGUUUAAGGAAUCGAAAUGGAGCAGUUUUUUGUUGAUUUCACAUAUUUGGGUCUGGUUGCAAGUAGGUGAUUUAAUUGCGUGAUUGACAUAUUUGGUGGGGCGAGUUGUGGCUUUUAACUGCUAUUGUGUCAGUUUAUUUUCUAUUGCUUUGUGAUUAUACAAGAAAGGAGUCUAAAGUUGCCAAAUUGCCAAAUUGCAUAUCUGUGUUUCAGACUUUCAGUGUAAUUUGAAAAUAGACAUAAAUUUGUAAGCAUGGAAGGGAAACAACAGUAUUGGGUUGCUUUACCGUUACCUUGGUUCAUAUAUUUUACAGACAAGUAUCAAAUUAGCUGACUUUUCGUAGGAUGGUUGUAAUGCCUUUAUAUCUUAGAGGAAAUCUUGCACCUAUGUUAUGUAUGUGGAACCAGUUUCUGAUAAUUCGGACAGGGUCUGAUACCAAAGCUUGAUAAUUGCAUCAUAUUUUGUAGAGUUAACAUAAUUUGCUACAUAAAAUGGUCUGAUUAAUUUCUUAUGUUUACAUAGAGAUUUAAUUAGAUGAUAUGUUAUAUCUUGUAAUUUUGAUUAUCUGCCUAAUAUAUUUGUUCAUUUCUUCGGUCUUACUGCUAUUUUUUUGUUUGAAAGUGAAGAACUUGUAUCGUGUUUCCACGUCAUUUUUCAACUUUCAUAUCACAACAGCAAAUAUAAUUGUAGUAUAGUUCUUUUUAUGGUUGAUAUUAGCAACAGAAGAAACUACUCUAGCCAGGUUUUAUUGGAUCCAUCUGGUGAAGGGCACCCUGCCAAUACUCAAUAAUCAUUCCCAUUCAAGAAAUUCAAGCAGCCCUUAUACAUCAAUUUUUCAAUCCAGUUGUCUUCAGCACAGGUUAAAAAAAUGGCAAGAUCAAAGAAAUUUUCAGUGGGGCAAUUGGUUUUUGGCGUCACAGGAGAGUCCAGCUCUGGUUAGAGAAACUUGGUGCAAAAGAACCAUUUUCUGGUAACAUGGCUAUCUGUUGGACCCAUGCCAAAGAAGAGGAAGCACUUGAAAGAUAUAAGUUGAUUGCAGGAAAUAUAGUUUUGUUUCCCAAGUUUCAGGUCCACAGUAAAAACAGCUCAGAAGAUGAUUGGCUUGCAGCUUUCAUCUGAUGGGCUAGUUGACAAGUGUUCUGGGUUGAAUUCCAGAGGAGUACUGGAAAUAAAGUGUCCAUUUUUUGAAGGAGAAAUGAGUAGGGCUUCACCUUGGAAGCAGAUCCCUCUUUAUUGUUUUCCACGAGCUCAAGGUUUAAUCGAAAACUUGACAAGGAUUGGAUGGAUUUCUAUGUUUGGACUCCUAAUGGAAGCGUUCUGUUUGCGUUAUAUCGAGAUGAGGCAUAGUGGAUGCUCUGAAAAUAGCACUUUCUGAUUUCUGGAUUAAUCAUGUACUGCCAGCAAAGGAGUUGUGCAGUAAAAGAGAUAACAGAUCCCCUGAAAGAAUUAGGAUCAUUGGAGCCUGAAGUCUGCACCUAGGCAUGAAUUGUAUAGCUAUGUAGUUUAUGAAAGUAAACAAAUUGUUGAAAGCUCCCACUUAAAGAUGCGCGAAAUUAGUGGGCAACUUCAAAACUGAUGCAAUUAGGACUUGAUGAGCUGGGGCAUUUCGCUACAGUUUGAAUAGAUGAACUUGUGUAAGUGUCUUUUUUCGUUAUGUUUUACUUGCAGUUAUGAGAAAAGUCAAAUGUAUCUGAUAUUAAACAAACGAUGACCCCUUCUUGUUGGUGCAGGUUGCAUUGCAUCUUCUCUACUCUGACUUCUUCUUCUUUAUGUUUUUUAAUUAGUAUUGUUAUUAAGUAGACGAAUUAUGACAUUUGAUCAGAAAGUUAGGAAUAAGGUUAGGCAGUUUGAGUGGAACCAGAUUAGAGCAACUUUGGGUUGUAGCAGCAUGGAGAUAACUCAGGCCGAUCAUUAUCCUUCCUCCCAUGCUGAUUAGUGCAGUGUUUUGAUUAUUUUCGGUACAAACAUAAGCAUUUUGUUGUGACAAUAUAUUAUAUGCACAACUUACUUGGUGAUUUUACAUGUUUAAACCACGUGAUUAUGCCAUUUUUAAAUAGUGCGUUUCCCCCCCUUAACAACAGCUUAUCAACUUUGAGUUAUGAAGAUUUGUUGGCUUGUCUACUUUGGACCGACACACGUGCAGAGGCACACAUUGAGAGAUGGCAGGUCAGUUGUGCACGAUUAAUCAUCAAGUUUUGCGACAUCACCAUCCAAAAAACUGCAAUUUGAGAACAACGAAAUACAAGAUAUAAACGAAGACGAACAUGCGGAGACAUACUGAAGACUGAGAUCAAGGAAAAAGGCAUUAUUUGCCUCGGAUUUACUGCAAGACUGGGCACAAAAGCAAGACCUGCAGACUAGCUUUGCUGGAGCAGCCUCUAUACAUGUUCAACAAAUUAUGGCGGAAGACAUGCAAGCCCUAUGUACUCAUCAAAUCAAUAGAGGGUUGAAAAACCCUGGAAUAUGAGACCAUAUCCCAGAGUAGGGAACGAAGGGGAGUCCUGGAAAUUCAAAAUGUGGUGUGGUAAUACUCGAGGGGUGGAGAGAACAUAAAACCAAGAAAAGAGGAAGAAGAAAAGGGUGGUGAUAGGUGCCAUAGUUUUGAGCUUACUGCACAGGGGAAGCUUUGUGAUGGAGCUAGCUGGGUUUUUGUGAUCUUAAUCUGUUGCUUUCUUUGCGGGUUUCGACGAGGCAUGAAACAAGCGAUUGUGGCAAUUGAAUAUAACGAUCCACACACAUGCACACACGCAAAAGGCUGAGAAUGCAAUCCCAAGUGUGCAUCAAUUGCCUUACCUGAUGCUGUGAAAAAUUAUGAUCUUUCGGGUUUUCCAAAGUUUUGCCGACAAAGAGGUGUGAGAGUGGGUGCAUUCGGUCAGAGUGACAUUAUGCCACGAAAAGAAAAACGGGCAACCGACAAAGAAGUUAGCAAUUGCUUUCACGCUGCAGUCAAGGCUCAAAAAGAAAAUGCGAGACUUAGAAGCAGCUUCUUCUAUGGGAUUAUCUGCAAUUACAGCAAAAGCAGCUCUCGCCACGUUACCAUACCGUUAGCAAACCAGACUUGUUAGCUUUCAGUUAGUUAUUUUUGAAAAAAAAUUAAUUUUUUUUUA